rnacentral:rRNA from 1 species
UACGUAGGUUGCAAGCGUUGUCCGGAUUUAUUGGGUUUAAAGGGUGCGUAGGCGGUCUUAUAAGUCAGUGGUGAAAUACGGCAGCUCAACUGUCGAGGUGCCAUUGAUACUGUAGGACUUGAGUACAGACGAGGUAGGCGGAAUUGACGGUGUAGCGGUGAAAUGCUUAGAUAUCGUCAAGAACACCGAUAGCGAAGGCAGCUUACUAGGCUGUAACUGACGCUGAGGCACGAAAGUGUGGGGAUCAAACAGG